AGUUAUUAAGUAUAAUAGCCAAUAUGCUUAGGAAUUGGCCCGGGCGUUGCUACCCAGCAACCGUAAUGGCUGGAUUACGGAGGGAAAAUAUACCG
rnacentral:ncRNA from 2 species